UUAACCCUUUGGCAUUUAAACUGACCAUAUUAGGCCAAAAUAUUCACCCUGUUUUAUGUUUUAACUGGUUAUAUCUGGUCUCUCACACCCACCCUACAAUGCCAUUUU